rnacentral:lncRNA from 1 species
UCCGGGUCCGGGCAAGGAAGGGGCCAGUUGGGCUCUUAGUGUGAAGCGACUGUGGGACAUCCUGGUGAAGACAGGACCUAAAGCCGGCAGAUGCUGCUGUGAUGUAGAUGCAAAUUGGGGCGUCUUGAUGGUCAGUGAUGCCACUGAGCUCGCGAGGUCGCCCAGAGACAGUGUUGAGUGAGAAGCGGCCCUGGUGCCCCUGGGGCUGUUGAAGAGGGAAGAGGCGCCCUGGGCAUGGAGACCGCUGGGGCGGCCCUGGAUGGGAGGGGAGGGACCCAGGGGCCAGUUGCCACAGAGUCCCUCAUGGAACUAGGCCCCUGAGACCUCAGUGUUGCUCAGGACUGUUGAGUUCCUUGGAGAAUGAGAACUAAGGACCGAAGGUAGGAAAAAUAACUUGACUUCUCUGUAGGAAAAAUAGGUAUCUCGGGAAUGUUUCCAGGUGGCUGUGGUUGAUGAUAUCCACAGCAGGAGCCCGGAAGCAACAUGUCAGAACCUUAGUCUUUUCACCCAUUUGGGGAAAAAGUUAUCUCCUGGUCACAAAGAUAAAGUUGCCUUUGACCAUUAGCCUACUAAAGUCCACUGUGGUGGUAAUGAGAGGUGAAGCCAGCUGGACUUCCUGGGUCGAGUGGGGACUCAGAGAACGUUUCUGUCUUACAAGGAGAUUGUAAAAUGCACUAAUCAGCACUCUGUAGCUAGCUAGAGGUUUGUAAAAUGCACCAGUCAGUGCUCUGUAGAGCUAGCUAGAGGUUUGUAAAAUGGACCAAUCAGCACUCUGUAAAAUGGACCAAUCAGCAGGACAUGAGCAGGGACAAAUAAGGGAAUAAAAGCUGACCACCCUCCAGCCAGCAGGGACAACCCGUUCGGAUCUUCUUCCAUGCUGUGGAAGCUUUGUUCUUUCGCGCUUCACAAUAAAUGUUGCUGCUACUCACUCUGGGUCCGUGCCAUCUUUAAGAGCUGUAACACUCACUGUGAAGGUUGGUGGCUCCAUUUUUGAAGUCAGUGAGACCACGAACCAACUGGAAGGAACCAACUCCAGACACAGUAACAGUAGCUGCCAUUCAUGGAGCACCUGCUAUGUGCCAGGUGGUGCCAAGUGCUCUGCGUGUGCCAGGCUCUCACAUUCGAUGUGGCUGGCCAUCAUAGGGACAGACAAGAGACUGUCUUUAAAUGUGUUACUGAAUAAUUUGGGAGUCGUUCUAAACUUCCAUCAAGUCUAAAUUUAUUGUCCCAAAGGGCAUAGAAUGAGAUUUUAAUUUCAUGAGCAGAAACCUAAUCAUUCAUUAGAGAAACACAGAGGAAACUAACAUUCAGCUUGGACUCUAAGCCUUAGAGGAAAGAAAAUGGAAAGACAAAGAGCCAGAAAUGUACAGAUACUGUCCAGGCACUGUCCACUCCCCAUGUUCUGGUUUCUGUUCCUCCAGCUUCCCUCAAGACCUAUGCACAAACGGAGGUACAAUCCCAGUGGCAACACCAGGGUUGCUAACAACUUUCGGGCAGAUGUUAAGAAUCUAGCCUCUAGCAGGGCUCAAUCUGUGCCCUGACUUUCUGGUCUUCUAUGUCCACUUCCUGGAGUGUAGGGAUCAUCUCAGUAUGAGGGAAGAAUCAGGUAUCAGAGCCUGCAGAGCCACAGUCCAGACUCUGGGCAGGUGAGUUUGCCUCUCAGUAAUCUCCCUGCUGAUCUCCCCAGUACAAGUGCGCUAUGGCCCAGGUCCUUGACCACAGCAUUCAGC